rnacentral:tRNA from 1 species
GGUUUGUUGGUGUAGUGGUUAUCACGCUUGCCUGUCACGCAAGAGAACACGGGUUCGAAUCCCGUACAAAUCG